rnacentral:tRNA from 1 species
GCCGGUGUAGCAUAGCUUGGUUAAUGCGCAAGACUCAUAAUCUUGAGAUCGAGGGAUCAAAUCCCUCCACCGGCA